rnacentral:rRNA from 1 species
GACGAACGCUGGCGGCGUGCUUAACACAUGCAAGUCGAACGGAAAGGCCCUGCUUUUGUGGGGUGCUCGAGUGGCGAACGGGUGAGUAACACGUGAGUAACCUGCCCUUGACUUUGGGAUAACUUCAGGAAACUGGGGCUAAUACCGGAUAGGAGCUCCUGCUGCAUGGUGGGGGUUGGAAAGUUUCGGCGGGUGGGGAUGGACUCGCGGCUUAUCAGCUUGUUGGUGGGGUAGUGGCUUACCAAGGCUUUGACGGGUAGCCGGCCUGAGAGGGUGACCGGCCACAUUGGGACUGAGAUACGGCCCAGACUCCUACGGGAGGCAGCAGGGGGGAAUAUUGCACAAGGGGCGGAAGCCUGAUGCAGCAACGCCGCGUGCGGGAUGACGGCCUUCGGGUUGUAAACCGCUUUCGCCUGUGACGAAGCGUGAGUGACGGUAAUGGAUAAAGAAGCACCGGCUAACUACGUG